CGAUUCUGGCUCAGGAUGAACGCUAGCGGCAGGCUUAACACAUGCAAGUCGAGGGGCAGCGCGAGUAGCAAUACUUGGCGGCGACCGGCGCAAGGGUGCGUAACGCGUGAGCAACAUGCCCGUAUCAGGGGGAUAAUCCAGGGAAACUUGGUCUAAUACCCCAUAGUAAUUUUGUAAGGCAUCUUAUAAGAUUUAAAGCUUUGGUGGAUACGGAUUGGCCCGCGUGACAUUAGCUGGAUGGUAAGGUAACGGCUUACCAUGGCUAUGAUGUCUAGGGGUUCUGAGAGGAAGGUCCCCCCACACUGGAACUGAGACACGGUCCAGACUCCUACGGGAGGCAGCAGUGAGGAAUAUUGGACAAUGGAUGGAAAUCUGAUCCAGCCAUGCCGCGUGAAGGAAAGAAGGUCCUAUGGAUUGUAAACUUCUUUUGUAUGGGAGCAAUAAGGCCUACGAGUAGGUUGAUGAGAGUACCAUACGAAUAAGCACCGGCUAACUCCGUGCCAGCAGCUGC
rnacentral:rRNA from 1 species